rnacentral:lncRNA from 1 species
CACCUGGAUACCUCAUGGAGGUCCUUCAUCUCCCCGCAGAGCUGUCAUGGAGUGAGGUUGGGGCCUCUUCCUUGGGCUGCUGACCUCUCCCCUGUCUUAGGAGAUGGCCUUUCACGGCCUGUUUCUGCUAUUUUCCUCUCUGACACUUCCUCUCCUUUUCUCCUCCAGGACCCAAUUGUGGCCACUUCAGCUGGCCCAGGCUUUCCCGAAAUGUGAGGACAGCGAUCUCCCUACUCUUCCUCCUGCAGGCUGGUGGCAAAAACACAAAGUCCACUUGAGACCACAAAGUCCAAGGAUCCUUGCUUAUUCCUGGAAUAUACUAGGAAAAAUACAGGCACCGUGCAGCAGGUGCUAUGUGCUAGCUGCUCUGUUAACUGCCAGUUAUCUCAUUUGAUUCCGAUGACAACCCUUGGGUAGGUAUUGUGGUGACCCCCAUUCUAUCUCUGGAAGAACUAAGAAUGGAAGUUAAGUAACUUUCCUGAGGCUCCUCAGCUAAGGCUCUAGAACUGGAACGGAGCCAGGCAGUCUGACUCCAGAGCCCCACUGACUGUUCCUCCAUAGAGGAUACAGCUUCUGCACCUCUGCAGGGAGAGGCCCCAACCACAGGGUUGACAUGGGGAAAAGUGGCCUUAUUUGGCUUUUAAUGAAUCACUCUACCUCCCUUAAUUUCAAAAUAAAGGAGAAGGCUUAGAUCUUGAGAAUCCUUUCGGAUUCAGUGUCAGAAUAACCAUACUUUCUAUCGUGGCUGGGCUGCUUACCAGGUUCAAGACAAAAAGAAACAACGAUGAAUCCAACAAAUAAACAAAGCAAAAGUCCAACAACAACAAAACGAACAAGAAAAAGAAAGAGAAGGGCAAACUGGUUUGAGUUUGAGUUCAUGAUCAUCUCUGAGGGAGCUUGGGCUGCCUUUUAGCUGCACUGUGUCUUGGUUUCCUUAUGAGUGAAACGGGUAUGUUCAUACCUUCUGCGGUCAAUUGCACAGUCCAAGAAGGCUGCACUUCCCUUCCCACAUGUGCUUCUUCUGCUGUGAAACUUACACUGCUCCAUGGAGCAGAUACCCAAAGAUGUGGGAGUGAGUGAACCUCCCAGUGAUUCUAUGCCCAGCCUUUAAGCUGGCCCAGCUGACACCAAAUGGAACAAGGCUGACUUGCCAUUUCUCAUCCAAAAGCACAUCAUAAAUGUGUGAGCAAAAUAUCAGGUGCAGUGACUCACAACUGUAAUACCAGUGCUUUGGGAGGCUAAAGUGGGAAGAUUGCUUAAGCUCAAGGGUUUAAGGCCAGUCUGGGCAACGUGGUGAGACCCCAUCUAUAUUAGUCUGUUUCACACUGCUGAUAAAGACAUACCUGAGACUGGACAAUUUACAAAAGAAAGAGGUUUAAUUGGACUUACAGUUCCACGUGGCUGGGGAAGCCUCACAAUCAUGGUGAGGAGCAAGGAGGAGCAAGUCACAUCUUACAUGGAUGGCAGCAGACAAAGAGAGAGUGAGAGCCAAGCCAAGGGGGUUUCUUCCCAUAAAACCAUCAGACCUUGUGAGACCUAUUCACUAUCAUGAGAACAGCAUGGAGGAAACCACCACCAUGAUUCAACUAUCUCCCACCAGGUCCCUCCCACAACAAUGGGAAUUAUGGGAGAUACAACUCAAGAUAAGAUCUGGGUGGGGACACAGCCAAACCAC